UACGGGGGAUGCAAGCGUUAUCCGGAAUCAUUGGGCGUAAAGCGCCUGUAGGUUGUUUAAUAAGUCUGUUGUUAAAGACUAGGGCUUAACCCUAGAAAAGCAAUGGAAACUACUAGACUAGAGUAUGGCAGGGGUAGAGGGAAUUUCUAGUGUAGCGGUGAAAUGCGUAGAUAUUAGAAAGAACACCAGUGGCGAAAGCGCUCUACUGGACCAUUACUGACACUCAGAGGCGAAAGCUAGGGUAGCAAAAGGGAUUAGAUACCCCUGUAGUCCUAGCCGUAAACGAUGGAUACUAGAUGUUGCGCAUAAAGUACAGUAUCAUAGCUAACGCGUUAAGUAUCCCGCCUGGGGAGUACGCUCGCAAGGGGG
rnacentral:rRNA from 1 species